rnacentral:rRNA from 1 species
GUCCACGCCCUAAACGAUGGAUACUAAGUGUCGGCGGGUUACCGCCGGUGCCGCAGCUAACGCAGUAAGUAUCCCGCCUGGGGAGUACGGCCGCAAGGUUGAAACUCAAAGGAAUUGACGGGGGCCCGCACAAGCGGUGGAGCAUGUGGUUCAAUUCGACGCAACGCGAAGAACCUUACCCAGGCUGGACAUGCUGGUAGUAGGAGGGUGAAAGCCCAACGAGGUAGCAAUACCAGCCAGCUCAGGUGCUGCAUGGCUGUCGU